UACGUAGGGUGCAAGCGUUAUCCGGAAUUACUGGGUGUAAAGGGUGUGUAGGCGGUUUAUCAAGUCAUGUGUGAAAACCCAGUGCUCAACAUUGGGCCUGCACAAGAAACUAGUAAACUUGAGUACAGGAGAGGUAAGCGGAAUUCCUAGUGUAGCGGUGAAAUGCGUAGAUAUUAGGAAGAACACCAGUGGCGAAGGCGGCUUACUGGACUGAAACUGACGCUGAGACACGAAAGCGUGGGGAGCAAACAGG
rnacentral:rRNA from 1 species